UACGUAGGGGGCAAGCGUUGUCCGGAUUUAUUGGGCGUAAAGAGCUCGUAGGUGGUUCGGUAAGUCGGAUGUGAAAUCUCCAGGCUCAACCUGGAGGGGUCAUUCGAUACUGCCGUGACUAGAGGUCGGUAGGGGAGUGUGGAAUUCCUGGUGGAGCGGUGAAAUGCGCAGAUAUCAGGAGGAACACCAAUAGCGAAGGCAGCUCGCUGGGACGUUACUGACACUGAGGCGCGAAAGCGUGGGGAGCGAACAGG
rnacentral:rRNA from 1 species